CCAUAGCCCGAUUGUAACGGCAUCCUUUUGAGUAGCGAAGCGAAACAAAAGAUAUAGUGAAAAGAGGGAAAUUGC
rnacentral:sRNA from 1 species